GCCGGAGUGGCGGAACAGGCAGACGCCCCGGACUUAAAAUCCGGUGAUCGCGAGAUCGUACCGGUUCGACCCCGGUCUCCGGUACCA
rnacentral:tRNA from 1 species